rnacentral:rRNA from 1 species
GACAGAGGGUGCAAACGUUGUUCGGAAUUACUGGGCGUAAAGCGCGUGUAGGCGGCUUGGCAAGUCGGAUGUGAAAGCCCUGGGCUCAACCUAGGAAGUGCAUUCGAAACUCCCGAGCUUGAGUUCUGGAGAGGAAGGCGGAAUUCUCGGUGUAGAGGUGAAAUUCGUAGAUAUCGAGAGGAACACCGGUGGCGAAGGCGGCCUUCUGGACAGUGACUGACGCUGAGACGCGAAAGCGUGGGGAGCAAACAGG